rnacentral:rRNA from 1 species
UACGUAGGGUGCAAGCGUUGUCCGGAAUUAUUGGGCGUAAAGAGCUCGUAGGCGGUCUGUCGCGUCGGAUGUGAAAGCCCGGGGCUUAACCCCGGGUCUGCAUUCGAUACGGGCAGGCUAGAGUUCGGUAGGGGAGAUCGGAAUUCCUGGUGUAGCGGUGAAAUGCGCAGAUAUCAGGAGGAACACCGGUGGCGAAGGCGGAUCUCUGGGCCGAUACUGACGCUGAGGAGCGAAAGCGUGGGGAGCGAACAGG